CAGACAUGGAGUCAGAGUCUGCAUACCACUCUGAGCUAACAUGCUUUCUCUCAUCUACUGUAACUAUGAGGCCGCUGCUCCAAAUCACUGACUCUGUGCUUCAAGUCAUCAACCCUGCCUAGGAUCCUGUUCCUCUCCUCCUGCAGACUGUCUACACUCUGAAGGAACAUCCCGUCUGCUGUGUGUGAGCAGGAUCCUGCA